rnacentral:misc_RNA from 1 species
UUUCCGUAGGUGAACCUGCGGAAGGAUCAUUAAAGUUAUAGUCCCCCGGCCCUCUGGGCUGGGGUCUUCUAUACCACCCUUUGUUUAUUACACCUUUGUUGCUUUGGCAGGCCUGCCCUCGGGCUGCUGGCUCCGGCCGGCUCGCGUCUGCCAGAGGACCUAAACUCUGUUUGUAUAUGAAGUCUGAGUACUAUAUAAUAGUUAAAACUCUCAACAACGGAUCUCUUGGUUCUG